rnacentral:misc_RNA from 1 species
UCUCCGUAGGUGAACCUGCGGAGGGAUCAUUACAGAGUUCAUGCCCCUACCCGGGUAGAUCUCCCACCCUUUGUUAUCAUUACCUUCGUUGCUUUGGCGGGCCGCCAGGCCUCGGUCAGGCUACCGGCUCCAGCUGGUAAGCGCCCGCCAGAGGACCCCAAACUCUGAAUAUUAGUGUCGUCUGAGUACUAUAUAAUAGUUAAAACUUUCAACAACGGAUCUCUUGGUUCUG